rnacentral:rRNA from 1 species
UAGGGAAUCUUCCGCAAUGGGCGAAAGCCUGACGGAGCAACGCCGCGUGAGUGAUGAAGGUCUUCGGAUCGUAAAACUCUGUUAUUAGGGAAGAACAAAUGUGUAAGUAACUAUGCACGUCUUGACGGUACCUAAUCAGAAAGCCACGGCUAACUACGUGCCAGCAGCCGCGGUAAUACGUAGGUGGCAAGCGUUAUCCGGAAUUAUUGGGCGUAAAGCGCGCGUAGGCGGUUUUUUAAGUCUGAUGUGAAAGCCCACGGCUCAACCGUUGAGGGUCAUUGGAAACUGGAAAACUUGAGUGCAGAAGAGGAAAGUGGAAUUCCAUGUGUAGCGGUGAAAUGCGCAGAGAUAUGGAGGAACACCCGUGGCGAAGGCGACUUUCUGGUCUGUAACUGACGCUGAUGUGCGAAAGCGUGGGGAUCAAACAGG